rnacentral:rRNA from 1 species
AGUGAACGCUGGCGGUAGGCCUAACACAUGCAAGUCGAACGGCAGCACAGUAAGAGCUUGCUCUUACGGGUGGCGAGUGGCGGACGGGUGAGGAAUACGUCGGAAUCUACUUUUUCGUGGGGGAUAACGUAGGGAAACUUACGCUAAUACCGCAUACGACCUACGGGUGAAAGCAGGGGAUCUUCGGACCUUGCGCGAUUGAAUGAGCCGAUGUCGGAUUAGCUAGUUGGCGGGGUAAAGGCCCACCAAGGCGACGAUCCGUAGCUGGUCUGAGAGGAUGAUCGGCCACACUGGAACUGAGACACGGUCCAGACUCCUACGGGAGGCAGCAGUGGGGAAUAUUGGACAAUGGGCGCAAGCCUGAUCCAGCCAUACCGCGUGGGUGAAGAAGGCCUUCGGGUUGUAAAGCCCUUUUGUUGGGAAAGGAAAGCAGCAGGUUAAUACCCCGCUGUUCUGACGGUACCCAAAGAAUAAGCACCGGCUAACUUCGUG